GAUGAAGAACGCAGCGAAAUGCGAUAAGUAAUGUGAAUUGCAGAAUUCAGUGAAUCAUCGAAUCUUUGAACGCACAUUGCGCCCGCCAGUAUUCUGGCGGGCAUGCCUGUUCGAGCGUCAUUUCAACCAUCAAGCCCCAGGCUUGUGUUGGGGACCUGCGGCUGCCGCAUGCCCUGAAAACCAGUGGCGGGCUCGCUGUCACACCGGGCGUAGUAGAUUUUAUCUCGCUCAGGGCGUGCUGCGGGUUCCGGCCGUUAAAAAGCCUUUUUUACCCAAGGUUGACCUCGGAUCAGGUAGGAAGACCCGCUGAACUUAAGCAUAUCAAUAAGCGGAGGA
rnacentral:misc_RNA from 1 species